rnacentral:rRNA from 1 species
UACGUAGGGUGCGAGCGUUAAUCGGAAUUACUGGGCGUAAAGGGUGCGCAGGCGGUUUUGUAAGCCAGGUGUGAAAUUCCCGGGCUCAACCUGGGAAUGGCAUUUGGGACUGCAAGGCUGGAGUGCGGCAGAGGAGACUGGAAUUCCCGGUGUAGCAGUGAAAUGCGUAGAUAUCGGGAGGAAUACCGAUGGCGAAGGCAGGUCUCUGGGCUGACACUGACGCUCAUGCACGAAAGCGUGGGGAGCAAACAGG